rnacentral:rRNA from 1 species
CCCUUAGAUGUCCGGGGCUACACGCGCGCUACACUGAAGGAAUCAGCGUGCUAAAACCAUUGUCGAAAGGCAUUGGUAAACCCAUUAAAAUCCUACGUGAUUGGGAUCGGGAAUUGCAAUUAUUUCCCUUGAACGAGGAAUUCCCAGUAAGUGUGGGUCAUAAGCUCGCGUUGAUUACGUCCCUGCCCUUUGUACACACCGCCCGUCGCUGCCCGGGACUGAGCCGUUUCGAGAAAAGCGGGGACUGCUGCUGUCGGGGCUUUCGGGCCUUGGCUUCGGUGGAAACCGCUUUAAUCGCAGUGGCUUGAACCGGGCAAAAGUCGUAACA